AUUAGAAGCAUUGUGUAGAAGACAAACUACUAUAUGCUAGUCUUACUAACACUGUGUGUGUGGGGCACUCUCCUUUAAUUUUCUAGCAUGUUAAAUUUAACAUUCUAAUAUAUUUUGCUGCUAGUGUCCAUUUAGCAGUUUUUUUACUAUGUUUCUACCAAGAUGGUUCAGCCAUUUGUUUGUUUUCCUGCAGCGAAGUGCGGCUGGACGACUGAGGCUGCUAUUCUGCCUUGAUGUGCACACAAAGAGUUCCUGGACCUGACUUGAAGCAAGGAUACCUGCGGCUGCAAGCCAACAAUAUCUGAAGACAGGGUGACAGAGGAAGCCAUGUUACCGUUUUGUUUGUUCCCAGCCUUGACUAUGGUUGUCCAGCGAGUCCGGCAUGUCAUCAUUUUCUUGUAAAGCAGUAUUGUAUCACACUUGUAGAGCUCGUUACACAUGUAGAUCUUGUAAAGUACUGUAUUACACAUGGUCAUAUGUAUUGGCAACGUGAUCUGGUUGCUCUUAUUUGAA